CCUACGGGGGGCAGCAGUGGGGAAUAUUGCACAAUGGGCGCAAGCCUGAUGCAGCGACGCCGCGUGAGGGACGAAGGCCUUCGGGUUGUAAACCUCUUUCGGCAGGGACGAAGCGCAAGUGACGGUACCUGAAGAAGAAGCGCCGGCCAACUACGUGCCAGCAGCCGCGGUAAGACGUAGGGCGCAAGCGUUGUCCGGAUUUAUUGGGCGUAAAGAGCUCGUAGGCGGCUUGUCGCGUCGACUGUGAAAACCCACGGCUCAACUGUGGGACUGCAGUCGAUACGGGCUAGCUAGAGUUCGGUAGGGGAGACUGGAAUUCCUGGUGUAGCGGUGAAAUGCGCAGAUAUCAGGAGGAACACCGGUGGCGAAGGCGGGUCUCUGGGCCGAUACUGACGCUGAGGAGCGAAAGCGUGGGGAGCGAACAGGAUUAGAUACCCUUG
rnacentral:rRNA from 1 species